rnacentral:rRNA from 1 species
ACGCUCGACACCUACGGGGGGCAGCAGUUGGGAAUAUUGGGCAAUGGGCGAAAGCCUGACCCAGCAACGCCGCGUGAGGGAAGAAGGUUUUCGGAUUGUAAACCUCUGUCCUCAGGGACGAAGGACGUGACGGUACCUGAGGAGGAAGCCCCGGCUAACUACGUACCAGCAGCCGCGGUAAUCUGAGCGGGCUGGCAAGGC